AAGAGUUAGGGCGCUCGUAAGAGGCCUGCCACUCAUUACACACACUGUGAACUUGAAUCGAGGAAGCUUUAACGAGGGACUUUGCUGUCCUUUGUUAUCGCCCCUUACCAAAAACACUUGUAUAUAUAAAGAUGAUGAUGUCAAUGUAUAUUGAAAAACGAAAGUA
rnacentral:misc_RNA from 1 species